rfam:TPA: Bos taurus chromosome 14, whole genome shotgun sequence.
UCCCUGGUGGUCCAGUGGUUAAGACUCCACACUUCCACUGUAGAAGGCACAAGUUCGAUCCCUGGUCGGGGAA